rnacentral:tRNA from 1 species
UUAGCCUAGAGGCCUAGGACACCGCCCACGUCGGCGGUAACAGGGGUUCGAAUCCCCUAGGGGAUGCCA